AUUCGCGGCCUAUCAGCUUGUUGGUGAGGUAACGGCUCACCAAGGCGACGACGGGUAGCCGGCCUGAGAGGGUGACCGGCCACACUGGGACUGAGACACGGCCCAGACUCCUACGGGAGGCAGCAGUGGGGAAUAUUGCACAAUGGGCGCAAGCCUGAUGCAGCAACGCCGCGUGAGGGACGACGGCCUUCGGGUUGUAAACCUCUUUUAGUAGGGAAGAAGCGAAAGUGACGGUACCUGCAGAAAAAGCACCGGCUAACUACGUGCCAGCAGCCGCGGUAAUACGUAGGGUGCAAGCGUUGUCCGGAAUUAUUGGGCGUAAAGAGCUCGUAGGCGGUCUGUCGCGUCUGCUGUGAAAACCCGAGGCUCAACCUCGGGCCUGCAGUGGGUACGGGCAGACUAGAGUGCGGUAGGGGAGAUUGGAAUUCCUGGUGUAGCGGUGGAAUGCGCAGAUAUCAGGAGGAACACCGAUGGCGAAGGCAGAUCUCUGGGCCGUAACUGACGCUGAGGAGCAAAAGGGUGGGGAGCAAACAGGCUUAGAUACCCUGGUAGUCCACCCCGUAAACGUUGGGAACUAGUUGUGGGGUCCAUUCCACGGAUUCCGUGACGCAGCUAACGCAUUAAGUUCCCCGC
rnacentral:rRNA from 1 species